AGCGAACGCUGGCGGCAGGCCUAACACAUGCAAGUCGAACGCCUGUAGCAAUACAGGCGUGGCAGACGGGUGAGUAACACGUGGGAACGUGCCCUUCGGUUCGGAAUAACUCAGGGAAACUUGGGCUAAUACCGGAUACGUCCGCGAGGAGAACGAUUCAUCGCCGAAGGAUCGGCCCGCGUCCGAUUAGCUAGUUGGUGGGGUGAUGGCUCACCAAGGCGACGAUCGGUAGCUGGUCUGAGAGGAUGAUCAGCCACCCUGGGACUGAGACACGGCCCAGACUCCUACGGGAGGCAGCAGUGGGGAAUAUUGGACAAUGGGCGCAAGCCUGAUCCAGCCAUGCCGCGUGGGUGAUGAAGGCCCUAGGGUUGUAAAGCCCUUUCGGCGGGGAAGAUAAUGACGGUACCCGCAGAAGAAGCCCCGGCUAACUUCGUGCCAGCCGCCGCAGUAACAC
rnacentral:rRNA from 1 species